rnacentral:lncRNA from 1 species
UUUGUUUCUUUCUUUUGACUUUUUUUUCUUUUUGAUUCUUUUUUUUUCUUUUGAUUGAUUUUUUUUUCUUUUUUUUUACCCUCCUCUUUCCAUUUUUGUUUUUUGUUAAUGCCCCAGUUGGCUGUUAUGCUGAUUCUCGAGGUGCAGCUGAGUGAUCUUCUUUACUUGCUCAAGAAGUCGGGAAAUCUCGUCAGGAAUCC